rnacentral:rRNA from 1 species
AGUGAACGCUGGCGGCGUGCCUAAUACAUGCAAGUCGAACGGAGUGGCGCACGGGUGAGUAAUAUAUACCUAAUCUGCCCCUUGCUGGAGGACAACAGACAGAAAUGACUGCUAAUACUCCAUAGCAAGGGAUGAGACUAUCUCGUAGCAGCUGGUCGGUGGGGUAACGGCCUACCGAGACCAUGACGCGUAACCGGUCGGAGAGGAUGAGCAGUCACAUUGGAACGGAGACCCCGUCCAAACUCCGACGGGAGGCAGCAGGAAGUAAUACAGCGCAAUGGGGGAAUCCCUGACGCAGCAACGCCGCGGGGAGGAUGACAUUGUUCGGAGCGUAAACUCCUUUUAUGAGGGAGGCGGUACCUAACGAAUAAGCACCGGCUAACUCCGUGCCAGCAGCCGCGGUAAUAC